UCAGUGCCUGUGGGGUGUCAGUUGAUGUGGGGUGUCAGUUGAUGUGGGGUGUCAGUUCAGAGUGGAGUGGCCCUUUAAAAUAUCUGGAUAAGGUAGAAAAGGAGGAGAGAAUUUGGUGAAAUAUUUAUAAUGAUCCAGCGAAGGUGACGCCCGGGGAACACCCAUUACGGAUCAGCGCGUUCGCCUCCACCCCACCCCCACCCCGGAGUUUAUGACAUCAUUGAUUUGAAUCCUUCACAAUUGAGACAAUCGGCAUUUCCUAUCGGAUUUGCUGUCUUCUCGGAGAACAAGGAUCUAAUGAUCAAUAAUUAAAAUCCCUAAUGCUGCCAUGAUGGCCCCGCUUUACAAGGAAUAACAAUGACUCUCCGGCCCCUGCAGCUUCCAAACUCAAUUAAUCCUACCUGUAGACAAAGACCUAAAAGGGCCCCAGAGCCCCGGGGGGCCCGAACUUUGACCUCACAGUGGAUAAGGGCUUGACUUCUUCCACACGACCUUUGCCCCCUGGAAAUCUUUAAAGGCGGUUAUGUGGCAGGGGGUCAGCUGCCGGUUUAUUCAUCGGCUGGGCGAUGGCCUUGAUAGCAGCAGCACAGAGGUGUGUGUGUGUGCCGAGGGCCCCGCCUGAUGGGGGCCACCAGGGCCAGUCUCGGGGGGGGGGAGAGCUCAAGCUGUGUGUGUUACUCCAUACCACCUGUCCUCUCUAUGACAGAAGCCUCUUUAUGGGUUUGUUUACAAGAAUGCAGGCUAUCCUUUCAUAAAUGAAUGAUGAGGAGGACGAGGCAUGGGGCACUCGGAGCAUCAAGCAUGCAUGUGGAGGCCUUAAAGUACAUCCAGUUCAGGGAUUUAUACAGCUCUGCUACACAGCACAGUACUCGAUACAAGAUACAAUGUACUCAGUGCACGACCUGGAACACCCAGGAGAAGACACGGGAGACUCAAUGCAAGACACAUGGCACUCAGGAGAAGACACAGGAGACUUAGGAAGAGGUAGGGGGACACUCAGGAGAAGACACAGGAGACUUAGGAAGAGGUAGGGGACACUCAGGAGAAGACACAGGAGACUUAGGAAGAGGUAGAGGAACACUCAGGAGAAGACACAGGAGACUUAGGAAGAGGUAGAGGGACACUCAGGAGAAGACACAGGAGACUUAGGAAGAGGUAGGGGACACUCAGGAGAAGACACAGGAGACUUAGGAAGAAGAAGGGGACACUCAGGAGAAGACACAGGAGACUUAGGAAGAGGUAGGUGACACUCAGGAGAAGACACAUGGGACUUAGGAAGAGGUAGGGGACACUCAGGAGAAGACACAUGAGACUUAGGAAGAGGUAGGGGACACUCAGGAGAAGACACAGGAGACUUAGGAAGAGGUAGGGGACACUCAGGAGAAGACACAGGAGACUUAGGAAGAAGAAGAAGAAGGGGACACUCAGGAGAAGACACAGGAGACUUAGGAAGAGGUAGGGGACACUCAGGAGAAGACACAUGGGACUUAGGAAGAGGUAGGGGACACUCAGGAGAAGACACAUGAGACUUAGGAAGAGGUAGGGGACACUCAGGAGAAGACACAGGAGACUUAGGAAGAGGUAGGGGACACUCAGGAGAAGACACAGGAGACUUAGGAAGAGGUAGGGGGACACUCAGGAGAAGACACAGGGGACACUCAGGAGAAGACACAGGAGACUUAGGAAGAGGUAGGGGACACCUAGGAGAAGACACAGGAGACUUAGGAAGAGGUAGGGGACACUCAGGAGAAGACACAGGAGACUUAGGAAGAGGUGGGGGACACUCAGGAGAAGACACAGGAGACUUAGGAAGAGGUGGGGGACACUCAGGAGAAGACACAGGAGACUUAGGAAGAGGUAGGGGACACUCAGGAGAAGACACAGGAGACUUAGGAAGAGGUAGAGGGACACUCAGGAGAAGACACAGGAGACUUAGGAAGAGGUAGGGGGACACUCAGGAGAAGACACAGGAGACUUAGGAAGAGGUAGGGGACACUCAGGAGAAGACACAGGAGACUUAGGAAAGGGUAGGGGGACACUCAGGAGAAGACACAGGAGACUUAGGAAGAGGUAGGGGGACACUCAGGAGAAGACACAGGAGACAUAGGAAGAGGUAGGGGACACUCAGGAGAAGACACAGGAGACUUAGGAAGAGGUAGGGGGACACUCAGGAGACUUAGGAAGAGGUAGGGGACACUCAGGAGAAGACACAGGAGACUUAGGAAGAGGUAGGGGACACUCAGGAGAAGACACAGGAGACUUAGGAAGAGGUAGGGGACACUCAGGAGAAGACACAGGAGACUUAGGAAGAGGUAGGGGACACUCAGGAGAAGACACAGGAGACUUAGGAAGAGGUAGGGGGACACUCAGGAGAAGACACAGGAGACUUAGGAAGAGGUAGGGGACACUCAGGAGAAGACACAGGAGACUUAGGAAGAGGUAGGGGACACUCAGGAGAAGACACAGGAGACUUAGGAAGAGGUAGGGGGACACUCAGGAGACUUAGGAAGAGGUAGGGGACACUCAGGAGAAGACACAGGACACUUAGGAAGAGGUAGGGGACACUCAGGAGAAGACACGGGAGACUUAGGAAAGGGUAGGGGACACUCAGUAGAAGACACAGGAGACUUAGGAAGAAGAAAGGGACACCUACAAGGUACAAGGAGUAUUUGUGGGAGACACGGGGAAAU